GCGGGUCAGUAGACUGCGUACUGCGAAACCUUCCCUGCCUUGAACAAGAAUUGAUCCUUCGUUGUGAAGAGUCUGGUUAAUGCGGUCCGCACCACAGCAGUAGCCCUGCUGCGACAGAGUCCUACAGACAGGCUUCCACAAAGCAUACUCCUUUGUAUUUAUGUUCAACCGGCAUCCACGCUUACCUGAGGUGAUGAAUGCCUGUCCCAUGGGAGAUACAUUUGACAUAGGAGAUCCAGAGGAGGACAUCGACACUGUGGUGAGCCAAAUGAAGGAGUUGAAUAAAAAGGUUCUUAACAACAUAGAAAAUGCCCAGGCAAGACAGCAAAAGUCUUAUGGAAAACGUAAGCGAAACGUACGCAUUUGCUCCAUAAACAGUGGUGAUGAGGUGCUCAUCUCCAAAAAACCCAUGAAACGGUCCCGUAAAGAAGGUCUUGCUAGCCAUCACCAAGGACCAUUUGCGGUUGCCCUUGUCACUUCCAAAGGUGUGGCCACUGUGGUGAAAGGCAACGGAACCAAGAAGCAGCUGAAUGUCUCACGGCUAAGGCCGUAUUACAGAUUGGAAAACUGUUCCAUGUUAGUGGAGCUGACUAAGCUGGCUUUUCUCCAUGACCACCAGUAUCUGAAAACGAAUGAAGGAAUGCAACAUUCAUAUGCUUGCAGAGGAGAGAAAUGGAGAAAGGACUUGGGUCCUCUUCAGGACAAACUGCUGAAAUACGUCCUUGACAGCAGUCAACCUGCAGGAGAACUAAUAGUCAGAGAUGGAGAUGUCUGUGUCACCCGUGAGGACUUUGACUUUGGGUUUAGCUCGGUGCAUGGAUGCCAAUAUUGGAAAUGCCUGUCUGAAGAUAAUGGGGGAGGCUGCCCAGAGACAUGUAAUUUCUAUAUAGUCUCAUAAACUUACACUUUUUGAGGUAGGCUACACAUUCUGUGUUGGUUGAUUUGAGGUAAUGCUCAAUACUCUGAACAGGGAAAAGGUGUUCACAUUGUGGACAUGUUUACUGUGCCCACCUGGAAAACCACAAAUGUUAGCCUCCUGGUGAGUUCCAGUGCAGUACUAUAACUUUUUUACACAUUUGAAUUGCAUGAAAUUAUAAAUUAGGUAUGGUAUUUAUGUAUUUAUAUUUCAAUGCUACCAGGACAACAUUGGCUAAGGAUGCCAUUUUGUUUCCUGCAUGGAGCAGACAACAGGAUCACGCUGAUCACUACCUGCUAUGUGUUGAGUACAAAUUGAUAAAUUGAGAUACAUAGAAUUUACGCUAUAUCAAAGUUAUAUUCCCAAUGUGUUUGCAGUGAGAUCAUUUAGACAUGUUUUUGUUGCAGGUGUUAUUGAUAGCAGAAAGGGAAAUCCUUUUUUUUUUUACUCUAUUCUUCCUGGUGGUUUUGGAGAUGACGCAUACAGAACCAUAUGUAGGUCCAGAAUUAAGAUUAACAUGUUGCCCUGUUCUGUGGCCUAACAAUAUUUUUCAAGUUGGUUUGACUGUUUCUGUUCAAGUUUAAUAGUGGCAUGUUUCAUGAGGAGCCUUGUUCUAUGGCUUCACAUUUCUAUAUAAGCCUUGUUCUAUGGCUUCACAUUUCUAUAUAAGCCUUGUUCUAUGGCUUCACAUUUCUAUAUAAGCCUUGUUCUAUCGCUACAUGUUUUGAUAUAAGCCCAGUUAAGGUUUGGCGUAGUUUAAGCUAGGGUUACCACAGCAGAUAUGUAACUAUGUGCAUUCAUUUGCUUUUCAGACAAAUUGCACAUGGUCUUGAUAAAGGAACUUGGACCGAGAAAACUGGCAGUGACUUUGACAUAAUUGUUUUAAGUGUUAUGUCGACAGAGUGUCAUACUAAUGUACAUGCUUGCAGUUUUCAUAAUGAUCACUCUGUCAGUCACAUUUAUAGACCACCACAUGAACAUGUUACUUUUAUUUGUAUUUCUAACACACUGAUAAAACAUAUGACAAUCAGUUUUGUGUUUUUCAGGGCUUCCCACAACAAACUACUGGAAACCACUGUGGUGUCCUCAUGCUGAUGUACGCACUCUGCAUCUGCACUGGCGCUCCAUUUGACUUCUUGGAAGUCUGUGCAACAUGUGGGUAUGAGCGUUUUUGGAGAACCAGCCAAUGCUGCACAGUAACAUGCCAGCCUGCAACCUGUUACUGAGUGGGGCCAUCCACUUUUCAGAUUACAUGGCUACCCAGACAAUAAGGAUGCUGAAACUGUUUGGGCUUCAGUGCAUCAGUGCCAGCACCUUCUUCCGCCAUCAACGCCUGUACACAAUCCCUACUAUCGUGCAGGCCUGGCAAAAUGAGCAGGCUGGGAUCAUCCGAGAACUGAAGGAGUGGGCUAAUCCUCUCCACACUUCAGCUUUUAUUAUUGAUAUAGAAAAGAGGUCAAAACAAUAUUUAAAUUACAUUCAUUUAGCUUUAUCCAAAGAACUGUACAAUAACUGCAUUGCAUUGUUUUUAGGGCUUUAACGUCUGAAUUAAACUGUUUUUGACACUCAUAGGUCAGACUCUCCUGGCCACUGUGCCAAUUAUGGCACCUACUCCUUGAUCGUUUUGGAUCUUCA